UACGUAGGGUGCAAGCGUUGUCCGGAAUUAUUGGGCGUAAAGAGCUCGUAGGCGGUCUGUCGCGUCUGCUGUGAAAUCCCAGGGCUUAACCCUGGGCCUGCAGUGGGUACGGGCAGACUAGAGUGCGGUAGGGGAGAUCGGAAUUCCUGGUGUAGCGGUGAAAUGCGCAGAUAUCAGGAGGAACACCGGUGGCGAAGGCGGAUCUCUGGGCCGUAACUGACGCUGAGGAGCGAAAGCAUGGGUAGCGAACAGG
rnacentral:rRNA from 1 species